UACGUAGGGGGCUAGCGUUGUCCGGAAUCAUUGGGCGUAAAGCGCGUGUAGGCGGUUCGGUAAGUCCGCUGUGAAAGUCGGGGGCUCAACCCUCGAAAGCCGGUGGAUACUGUCGGGCUAGAGUACGGAAGAGGCGAGUGGAAUUCCUGGUGUAGCGGUGAAAUGCGCAGAUAUCAGGAGGAACACCAAUGCGAAGGCAGCUCGCUGGGACGUUACUGACGCUGAGACGCGAAAGCGUGGGGAGCAAACAGG
rnacentral:rRNA from 1 species